rnacentral:piRNA from 1 species
UCUUCUAGGGUUAGCCUGGAGAUGGAGCA